ensembl:lncRNA novel transcript
UCCUCCCACCUCGGCCUCUUAAAGUUCUGGGAUUAUAGGUUUGGCCUAGAGCUCUUUCUUCUUAGCGGACAUCGUCUGGAGACAUUUUUGGUUGCCAGGAUUUGCUGGGUGGCCUUACUGGCAUCUAGAAGACCGACGCUGCUCAACCCUGUUGGCGCGCUGAACCCAAAUGCCAGUGGCAGUGAGCUUGCAAAUCGUUGGACUCAUGAUGCUUUGAGUGCUCUCAGGACUCUGGAGGUCGAUGCUGGGGUUCCUCGCUGGCUUCCUGCUGCUGAUGCUCUUCCCCUCUCUGAGCUCUUUUACGGAAAGCUUCGUGGCACACUUGCUGCUUUUCACUGAAACCAGGCUGUGUGGUGACUAGAAGCUGCGUAUUCACAUUUAUUUUUAUUGAUUGAUGGAUUGAGGCUGCUGUGCA